GUCAAGAUGGCCGAGUUGGUCUAAGGCGUCAGUUUCAGGUACUUGGUCCGAAAGGGCAUGGGUUCGAAUCCCAUUCUUGACA